UACGUAGGGGGCUAGCGUUGCUCGGAAUCACUGGGCGUAAAGGGUGCGUAGGUGGAUCUUUAAGUCAGAGGUGAAAUCCUGGAGCUCAACUCCAGAACUGCCUUUGAUACUGAGGAUCUUGAGUUCGGGAGAGGUGAGUGGAACUGCGAGUGUAGAGGUGAAAUUCGUAGAUAUUCGCAAGAACACCAGUGGCGAAGGCGGCUCACUGGCCCGAUACUGACACUGAGGCACGAAAGCGUGGGGAGCAAACAGG
rnacentral:rRNA from 1 species